AUGAUGAUGAUGAUGAUGAUGAAGAUGAUGAUGCUCCUCUUCCUCUGCGGGAUCCUCUGUGUUUCAGCUGACGUUCCACAUGACCACCUUCAGUUCUUCGGCUGUUCAGACUCUGAUGGGGAGUACAUGUUUGCUCUGGAUGCAGAGGAGCUGUAUUACGCUGACUUCAAAGCAGGGAAAAUAGUGGACGCUCAGCCCAGCUUUGUGGAGCAUCUUGGUGGCUCUUAUGAAUUCGCUCAGGGUGAACUACAGACCUGCAGAUUCAACCUGGGAAUAGUCCGUGAAUUCUACAAGAACGUCUCCCUGGAGAAAGAUCCUCCUUCCACCCCGCUGCUCUACACCAAACAGGAAGUGGAGAUGGGAGAGGGGAACGUCCUCGUCUGUCAUGUGACCGGUUUCUAUCCGGCUCCUGUGAGCUUCUUCUGGACAAAGAACGGAGAGAACGUGACUGAAGGAACCAGCAUCAACGUUCCCUUCCUCUCCAAAGAGGGUUCCUUCAGCCAGUUCUCCAGACUGGAGUUCACCCCCCAGCUGGGAGACAUCUACAGCUGUGGGGUCCAACAUCUGGCUCUGGACCAGCCGCUGACCACGUUCUGGGAGGAGCAGGGGUCUCAGCCCGGCGUGGGACCAGCAGUCUUCUGUGCUCUGGGUCUGACGGUGGGUCUUCUGGGAGUGGCUGCUGGGACCUUCUUCCUGAUCAAAGGGAACGAGUGCAGCUGAGUUCAGGGGGAAAGACCCUCAGCCUCCAGCCUGAGUACCUGAGGAGAUCACAUGAUCACAUGAUCACAUGAUCAUCACAUGAUCACAUGAUCACAUGAUCACAUCAUCGCAUGAUCACAUGAUCAUCACAUGAUCACAUGAUCACAUGAUCACAUCAUCACAUGAUCACAUCAUCGCAUGAUCACAUCAUCACAUGAUCACAUGAUCACAUGAUCACAUCAUCGCAUGAUCACAUGAUCAUCUCCCCACUGUGUAAAAUAUAUCUAACAGAUGUGGAAGUAGAAGUAAAUCAUAAUCAUAUGAAAAUGUGUGGGGCCUGAAGGCAUGUUGACGCAGGGCAGCAGGAUGAAGACAGGCUCUGCUGGUUCUAGCUCUGAUAAUAAUGCUGUGAUCCUUUAGUUUACACCUCGAAUGAAACCUGUCUGAAACUGUUUCCUGAUGUUCCCUGAACUCUCUGAAUGACCUCUAAUGAAACCUGUUCUAAAUAAAGAUUGAGCUUCUCUUA